CCUGACGCAGCGACGCCGCGUGAGGGAAGAAGGUUUUCGGAUUGUAAACCUCUGUCCUCGGUGACGAAACAAAUGACGGUAGCCGAGGAGGAAGCUCCGGCUAACUACGUGCCAGCAGCCGCGGUAAUACGUAGGGAGCAAGCGUUGUCCGGAUUUACUGGGUGCAAAGGGUGCGUAGGCGGCUCUGCAAGUCAGGCGUGAAAACUAUGGGCUUAACUCAUAGACUGCGUUUGAAACUGUGGGGCUUGAGUGAAGUAGAGGUAGGCGGAAUUCCCGGUGUAGCGGUGAAAUGCGUAGAGAUCGGGAGGAGCACCAGUGGCGAAGGCGGCCUACUGGGCUUUAACUGACGCUGAAGCACGAAAGCAUGGGUAGCAAACAGGAUUAGAUACCCCGGUAGUCCAUGCCGUAAACGAUGAUUACUAGGUGUGGGGGGUCUGACCCCUUCCGUGCCGGAGUUAACACAAUAAGUAAUCCACCUGGGGAGUACGGCCGCAAGGUUGAAACUCAAAGGAAUUGACGG
rnacentral:rRNA from 1 species